rnacentral:lncRNA from 1 species
UGGUAAUUUGAUUUAAUGUAAUAAGGUCAUAAUAUUAGUCAUGCCACAUGGCUAAUUUCCGAAGAGGGUUUCCAAAACGAUGUAGACGUUCUCUGGAACAUUAGUCCAUUUUAUUAGUAGGGAAAAUUGCAUAAAUGAGACAAUUUGAACUUGGAUUUGUCACAAUAGGAUUUAUAGAACAUGUUUUAGGAAAAUAGGAUUUUAAUUCCUGUAAAUACCAAAGUACUCUUAAUUUACCAAUUAUGUUGAAUUAAAAUUAUAAAUUAUAAUAAUUUUCUUAAUAGAUUUUUAAUGUUAAAAUAUUAAAAAGUUAAAAAAUUAAAAAAAAAAUUUAAUAGGGAAAAAGGGAGACGCGAGAUGCC